UAGUGGUGAAGACCAUGGUGAUAAUGAC
rnacentral:piRNA from 1 species